CGUAAACAGAGGGAAGCGAGCCCGCGAGGGGGAGCGAAUCCCAAAAAUAAACGUCCCAGUUCGGAUUGUAGUCUGCAACCCGACUACAUGAAGCUGGAAUCGCUAGUAAUCGCGGAUCAGAAUGCCGCGGUGAAUACGUUCCCGGGUCUUGUACACACCGCCCGUCACACCAUGGGAGUCGGAAAUGCCCGAAGUCUGUGACCCCAACCGAAAGGAGGGAGCAGCCGAAGGCAGGUCGGAUGACUGGGGUGAAGUCGUAACAAGGUACC
rnacentral:rRNA from 1 species